rnacentral:rRNA from 2 species
ACGCUGGCGGCGUGCCUAAUACAUGCAAGUCGAGCGAACAGAUAAGGAGCUUGCUCCUUUGACGUUAGCGGCGGACGGGUGAGUAACACGUGGAUAACCUACCUAUAAGACUGGGAUAACUUCGGGAAACCGGAGCUAAUACCGGAUAACAUAUUGAACCGCAUGGUUCAAUAGUGAAAGGCGGCUUUGCUGUCACUUAUAGAUGGAUCCGCGCCGUAUUAGCUAGUUGGUAAGGUAACGGCUUACCAAGGCAACGAUACGUAGCCGACCUGAGAGGGUGAUCGGCCACACUGGAACUGAGACACGGUCCAGACUCCUACGGGAGGCAGCAGUAGGGAAUCUUCCGCAAUGGGCGAAAGCCUGACGGAGCAACGCCGCGUGAGUGAUGAAGGUCUUCGGAUCGUAAAACUCUGUUAUCAGGGAAGAACAAAUGUGUAAGUAACUGUGCACAUCUUGACGGUACCUGAUCAGAAAGCCACGGCUAACUACGUGCCAGCAGCCGCGGUAAUACGUAGGUGGCAAGCGUUAUCCGGAAUUAUUGGGCGUAAAGCGCGCGUAGGCGGUUUUUUAAGUCUGAUGUGAAAGCCCACGGCUCAACCGUGGAGGGUCAUUGGAAACUGGAAAACUUGAGUGCAGAAGAGGAAAGUGGAAUUCCAUGUGUAGCGGUGAAAUGCGCAGAGAUAUGGAGGAACACCAGUGGCGAAGGCGACUUUCUGGUCUGUAACUGACGCUGAUGUGCGAAAGCGUGGGGAUCAAACAGGAUUAGAUACCCUGGUAGUCCACGCCGUAAACGAUGAGUGCUAAGUGUUAGGGGGUUUCCGCCCCUUAGUGCUGCAGCUAACG